rnacentral:tRNA from 1 species
CCUGGUGACUGAGUGGUAAAGAAUCUGCCUGCAAUGCAGGAGACACAGGUUUGAUCCCUGGGCCAGGA